GGAAGUCCAGUGGGCGAGAUUGGAGUCACUAACCUGAUUUUUAGGUUUAACACACCUGAUUUGAAAACACUUGAUUUAAAACCUUCAGCAGCAAGAGACUCGGAAGUACACGAAACUCCAAAAGCAUGUGAAGGCAGCACAUCAAGUUGCUAGGUUGGUAUCUUAGCAACCCCAGACGCCUGCGGUCUGACUGGACAGUUUGACUGGACUUUUCUGGGGUUUUGAGACAGGUUUUGAGCUAGAACGAUGGACGUUUCACUCGAGGCAAAAACCAAACCGCUGGCUACACUGUCAGCCUUCAGCUACGUCACACCGCGAAGAAAUGAGCCCAAACAAAUGUCCUACUUUAACAACGAAGCGAAGGUCUCAGAUGUGUCCAUGUAUGACCGAUUACACAACCAUGUUGAGGGUUUUGAUAUGUGGCUCCCCCGGGAUGACAGAAAACACUGGAAAGGAAGAGGACUUGACAUAAAUAAAGAGCAGCUGAUGGAGGAAUCCAUUAGCUACAUCUGUAACAGCUCUGGCGUGCGGAUUCAAACAGCAACAGGAAUGAUGAAUCCUUUCAGCAAGUAAUACGGACACGUUCCAACAGCUAGCAGAGAGGUCCAGAACUGUGCCGGUGCUGUCCUCGUCAGAGUAUGGCCGUCGUCCUGCUCCCACACUCUUCACAGAGAGGCAGUAUGCGCGUGUAGCCUGCAUUAAAUCUGAAAUCUACAUGAAAAAUGGGAUCUUAUGGAGUGUGGAAGAAGGAUACGGAUCAGUGAGACCUUCUUAAAAGUCUGACGUAUCAGUGCAUGAAGGCGUUUUUUUCUCACUGUGGAAACUCUAAUAAUAAAAAAUGUUGUGCUCUGUAGAUUGUUUAGUAAAAGAAUGCAAGUGUAAACAUUUAACCCACUGACAUAACUGUUGACUGUAGUAGCAAGACAGAUUUUUAUUCUUAAUGACUAGAAAAGACCUUUAUUUUCUACGAAAGUCCACCUACAUUUUCUUCUUCAAUCAGCAUGAAUAUAAUGUUUCAGUCGAGACUGAAGUGAAUCAUAACGUAUUUCCCAGAUUUAGUAGGUGAAUUCUCUGUAUGGCUCAAAGAUUAGAUUUUGUUUUCUGACUGCCUUCUUGUGUGAUGUUUGUUUUUACACUCUGGGUGUCAGGAAUAAUGUGAAUUUUUGUAAUGGGAUUUUGUAUGGAGCAAAUUUGAAAGGUUGAAGCCAGCGUUGGAGUAGCUGGCCAGUUUCUCUCAGGUACUGAUCAUUUGAACAACCCAUUCUUUUUAAAUUAGCUUCUACAUCAGUGUACGCUGCACUCCCUGCAUUUGAUCUGUUUUUUUCUUACUGUUUUUUUUUAGUUCACCUCGCCUUACAUAAAUACAUUUUUUUUACCUCACUAACCUCCUCGGUUCACUAAGUUCUCAGAUUCUUUUUGUGUAUAAAUACUAAACCCACGCAACAGAGAUCAGCCUCCUACACGAUAAGAUUUUUUUUUGAGUGCAGACAGCUCUCAUUUGCUUCUGCCUUUGUACUGUGGCUGAAAUAGAGCUCUUAUUCUUAGAAACUUGACAAGAUUUAAAUGUAUGUGGUGCUAGAACUGCAGUGAUGUUAGGGAGCUGUUAGAGGUGUUGGUGUUUCAAGGUUACAGUGACAAGAAAUACCCCGCCCCAUAAUAUUUCCUGGUGUUAGUCCAAUUUAUGAAGUCCAAAGUCUAUUAGCCAUCUACAACAACUCUACCAGGCUCUUGUCCGUAUUAUGUCUUUUGUCCUGUCUGUCUCCCCCAACCUCAAACAGUCCAUGGCUGCCCCUUUCUGAGCCUGAUUCUGCUGCAUGUUUCUUCCCGUUAAAAGGACGUUUUUCCUUCCCACUGUCACCAAGUGCUUGUUCAUAGGGAGUGGUCUGAUUGUUGGGGUUUUCACUAUUAUUUUAGGGUCUUAACCUGGCAAUACAGGCUGAUACAAGUGUUGUGAUUUAAUGCAGUAUAAAUACAAUUAAAUUGAAAUGAAUUAAAA